AGGCACUUGAGGUGUCGUCAUAGGAAAAGCCACUGGUGCUGGAGCCUGAGGAUGGGCAGGAGAACAAGAGUAAAGGAGCAGUUGGCUAACGACGAGUCCAAAUCACUGGGCAGCAUCUUCCCAGAAUGCAGUGGGGCUCCGGGGCUGUGGAUGUGAGUGGGCGGGGCCGGCUUCAGCAGAUCACCUGAGACGUUCCCAGGGUAACAUCAGAGAAAAUGAGGAGCGAUGGGCGAGUUGGAGAAGAGGUCGGUGGCUCCUCCGCUGCUGUUGGCACUGCCCACAGACUGAGUGCUGGGAGAGACUGUGGGCGUCUGGAUGUCAAGCACUUUAGGACCGUCCUCCUGAAAGACACAGCAAUGCCUGUUGUCCUCUGUCUUCUCGUCCAUUCGGCUCAGAGAGAUCCCUGUACUGGAGAGAGAGGACACGGCACUCGAUAAGAAGGUGUCCAGUUUGGGGCUGUGAGACGCGAGCUGAUCCGAUUUAUUGGCCAGGAGCACCGCUGGGACUGGUCUGCCGUGGUUCAGAGUCACCUACAAACCACAGAAUAAAUCACAUCAGACUUAGAAGAUGCUAAAGACAGCUACAAGUGCAUUAACUGUGUGAAAAACAAUGCCUUGAGUAAAUAGGUUGCCUCUUGUUGUCUAAUAAAACCACAAGAAAUACCGCUCUGCUCCAAAUUUGCUUCUAGCUACAAAAAGGCUUUUACUUUGCUCAGAUUAGCUCGCUCACAAAUCUACUCACCGUGUUUAUUGUUCUUUGGCUUACAGCAGCCAAGAGACUUCAUAAAAAGCCCUUAAAAUAGACACGUUUUCAUUCAAGUUGUCACAAAUGAAGUAUAAUACAA